AGCGAACGCUGGCGGCAGGCUUAACACAUGCAAGUCGAGCGGGCACUUUCGGGUGUCAGCGGCGGACGGGUGAGUAACGCGUGGGAACGUGCCCUCUGGUUCGGAAUAACUCAGGGAAACUUGAGCUAAUACCGGAUACGCCCUUUUGGGGAAAGGCUUGCUGCCGGAGGAUCGGCCCGCGUCUGAUUAGCUAGUUGGUGAGGUAACGGCUCACCAAGGCGACGAUCAGUAGCUGGUCUGAGAGGAUGAUCAGCCACACUGGGACUGAGACACGGCCCAGACUCCUACGGGAGGCGGCAGUGGGGAAUAUUGGACAAUGGGCGCAAGCCUGAUCCAGCCAUGCCGCGUGAGUGAUGAAGGCCUUAGGGUUGUAAAGCUCUUUUAUCCGGGACGAUAAUGACGGUACCGGAGGAAUAAGCCCCGGCUAACUUCGUG
rnacentral:rRNA from 1 species